rnacentral:rRNA from 1 species
GACAGAGGGUGCAAACGUUGUUCGGAAUUACUGGGCGUAAAGCGCGUGUAGGCUGCUCGGAUAGUCGGGUGUGAAAGCCCUGGGCUCAGCCCAGGAAGUGCAUUCGAUACUGCCGAGCUUGAGUCCUGGAGAGGAAGGCGGAAUUCUCGGUGUAGAGGUGAAAUUCGUAGAUAUCGAGAGGAACACCGGUGGCGAAGGCGGCCUUCUGGACAGUGACUGACGCUGAGACGCGAAAGCGUGGGGAGCAAACAGG